rnacentral:lncRNA from 1 species
CUCUCAACUAACUUCUGAAUUGAAAUGCCCUCCUAGCAAAGAAAAUCCUCUUUGAAACUGAAAUUUAGGGAACUUCGAGGCGCAGUGGAGUGUUUCUUUCCCUCUGUGGAGUCAAGAUGUAGCACUGAGUAA